CUGACAUCAUUGCUGGGCCACUCUCAGUCAUCUUUGGAAGAUCAUGGCAAUCAGGAGUUGGUGCCUGAGGACUGGGUGAAAGUCACUGACACUUCAGUCUUCACAAAGGGCAAAAAGGAGGACCCCGGGAACUACAGCUUCACCUCAAUCUCUGGAAAGGUCAUGGAACAGCUCAUCCUGGAGGCCGACUCUAAGCAUGUGGAAGACGAGAAGGGGUUCAGUGUAGUCAACAUGGAUUCACCAAAAGGAAAUCAUGCUUAACAAACAUGUUUGCCUUCUACAAUGGGACAACCCAAUGGGACAAUCCCCAGUGGAUGAGGGGAGAGCAGUGGAUAUUGUCUACCCUGGACUUCAGCAAGGCUUUUGACACUGUCUCCCAAGAUAUUUCUCAGGAAGACCAAAGCAAUUGGUCUGAUCCCUGCAGAAGAGGGAAAAACUACUGACACAGUGUGCCAAGAAAAUGAACUUCAGGUGUGUUGGGAAACAGAACUUAAAUCCAGAAUCCAGUCUUGGAUGUGGCUUACAGGAUAAAGCUUAGUAGCUGUAAAAUUCAACAAGGAAGACUAAAAUUGUGCUUUAAGAAAAACAGUUUUUAUUCUGGAUUAUGACUGCAGGGCUUUCAUAACGUACACGAAGGAGCGUGGUUUGACACAGUACAUUUCUAAUGCAUCUCCUGAUGGUUUUAGGAAAAAUACCACAUUCCAAACUGUAAGCUUACUAUUUACCUGACUGUGCAAACUAGAAAUGUUUUCCAAA